GUGAAAGCUGGAGUAAAUGCUUGUGUUAAAAUGUACCUCUUCUGUUUGAUGUCUAUGUGACUGCCCAGCUGGUCUUAUCAUUGUUGUUCAGGAUUUUAUGAGGUACUUGGGACAGUUUUAACUGUUGUUCAAGUUGCUUUUAGCUGUGACAGAGUUAGCGCUGUAUGUUUUAUAGUUGUGAAACCUGAAUCUUUUUCUUUUUUGUAUGUACUAAGAGAACGUGGGCUUGACUGCUUUGCAAAGACUUUUGUAGUUAAAUUUCACAGGGGUGACACCCAUUGAAAUGGAGGAAAAGAUGCAUAGUAGAAAUCAAAUUUUUGUUAAACUGAUGCUCCAUUACUCUGUUUUGUAGAUUCUCAAUCUGAUUCCAAAAGAAUCUGAUGGUGAACGUUUUGAAGAUGCUCUUGCUCGUGUUUGUCGCUGCGUCGGGGGUGGAGGAGCAACCGAAGCUGAUAGUGGUAGUGAUCUGGAAGUGGUAGCAGAUUCCUUCGCCGUUAAUCUCCGAUGUCCUAUGAGUGGUUCGAGAAUGAAGAUUGCUGGUAGGUUUAAACCUUGUGUUCACAUGGGAUGUUUUGAUCCGGAGGUAUUUGUGGAAAUGAAUCGGCGACCCAGGAAGUGGCAGUGUCCUAUAUGUUUGAAAAAUUACUCACUGGAGAAUAUCAUUAUUGACCCUUGCUUUAAUCGCGUGACU